AUUUUAACAAAAAUGAAUGUAUGUCUCCUCGUCUUCUUCUAGUCCACUGACAAACAUUCAUGUUAUAAAUCUCUCGCAAUAAAGCCCAUAAGAAUCACCAUAUUCGCAUCAAUACUCAAACUAGCAACAGCAACAAUGCUAAUAGUUGUAACAAUGAUGAGAGGCCUUUGUGAGUCUCUAGAUUGAUGAGGUAGAGGGAGUUCAUGCAUUUGAGCGAUUUGAAGAUUGUUGGAAUAGCCAAAUUGCGCAAACGGAUGAGAUAGGCGACUCCUUUGCAUUUUCCGGAUCGGACAGCGGUUAUGGUCGAUUGUUCAACGCUUCCACAGUCAGGUCUUUGCCGGCUUCGUCAAAUGCCGCCACGGCACAGCCGUUGCCAUUGCCUCUGCCGUUGCCAGUACGGGAUGAUAACGCGUGUUUUCCGCCGUGUUGAGAGGAAGAAGGCUGGAUAUUUGGAGACAAGGCGAAGAAGGAAAAUGCAGCUAGAUCUUAAUACAAUUGAAAGCUCUAGAGAAAACUUCAUGCAUUAUAUUCCUGCUAAGAGGGCUCCUUCUAUUUCAUUUUCAUGUCCCUCACUCAGCCCGCAGAAAAUGUGCAUUCAUAAGAUGUUUCAGAAUUAUUAUAAUGUUCCUCAUGGUAAUAAAGUAUGGUCUGCCCCGGCUAUGCUGCAUUUAGAUAUUCCAGGCCUUCCUCCACCUGCAUACUUUGAUUACACAGCUUUUAGUGCUGAUAAUUCUCCUUAUCAAAGUCUUCCUUGUAUAAGCCCAUGUGGAAACCCCGUUAGUCCAACUGGGCCUUCCUCACUUAUUAAUUCCAAAUUGUCCGUGAAACUGCUAGUAAUGUUGAAGUCCACCCCUUACCUCUUCCUCCAGCUUCACCCAUUUCUUCACCUUUAUCUUCUAUUCGACAUAUUCCAGCUAAACCUGAGCCUCUCCCAAUGAAUAAUCUGUGGAAAAUGGGAAAGCUUAUUGGACGGGGUACUUUUGGAAGUGUUUAUGUUGCCAGCAAUCGGCAUAUGAAUUCUCACUGGACAAGCAGCUGAUCUUUCUUUGAAGGGAAGCCCAUACUGGAUGGCUGCAGAGCUCAUGAUGUCAGUCAUGCAGAAAGAUAGCAACUGUGAUCUUGCACUUGCUGUUGAUAUCUGGAGCUUGGGUUGUACUAUAAUUGAAAUAUUUACUGCAAAACCUCCAUGGAGUGAGUUUGAAGGGGCUGCAGCUAUGUUUAACGUUAUGAAGGAUAUCCCAACCAUACCCGAAAAUUUGUCAGCCGAGGGCAAGGAUUUUUUGCAAUGUUGCUUCCAGAGAAAUCCUGCAGAGAGGCCAACUGCCAGCAUGUUACUAGAACACCGAUUAUUGAAAAACUCGCAACAUGCUGAUGUCGCAUCUUGCUCUCAUUCAUUCACUGGGAUGAAAUUGACUGUAAGCUACCAAUGAAACUUGCCUUUGAUUUUUCUCUUUCCAACAGGAUGUUCUCUGUACCCUUUGACAGCCCCAAAGUCCCAGAGAAUUGUGACGGUAAAAUUGAUCAGUAUCCUCUAUACCUAAGCUCACAAAGUCCAACAAAAUUGUCUUCUCAAAGUGAGAAUGAUCUAUGAUCCUCUGUUGGAACUUCCAACUUAGAGUUUGCAUUUGAUAAUUCUCCAUGUUCAUUCUACGAUGAUCUUCCUAGUAUAUGUCCUCUACGCAUCAAGGACAGCACACACAGCUCAUAUAUGGAGGAAAUGGAGGUUAUUCUAUCAUAUAUUGUCACUGUGUCAAUUGAUUCUGUAAUAGAAUAACUUAGGAAGAUAGAGCUUGUGGGGAUUGAUUGAUCAAGCCUCUUGAAGUCUGAACAGUUUGUAAUCACAUCCUUCCUUGAAGCAAAAGUAUGUUUUGGUAGAGUAAAAGUAGAAGCAGGUUUUUGUGCUCCAAUACUUAAAAAUGGCCAAAGGACUAUUUCCCACCCAAGGUAUGCUUUUUCUGCAAAUUCCUACCCGUUAACUUUGAAAAGCUUGUUUACCUACCCAUGGGCUAUUAAAAAAAACAGCAGAUUGACGGAUUUAGGGGCAAAAUCGUCAUUUUAUCUAUAAUAUUAAAAAUAAACUUAAAUUUAAUUUAUUUUUUACCCUCAAAUCCCAAAAACUAACACUUUUCCCCUAACCCAAGUUUUCAACAACUACAUAUUCUCUCCUAGGGUUUCCAAAUUCAGAUCCAAUUUUUUCGGCGACGAUCGGCGCUCUCCAAGCACCUACGCUCUCUCCCCGACGGCCCCUCCUUCCGACUGUGUGGCCUCCGACGCUCCUAGGCAUCGUCAUCUACGAAGACGACGCGUCUUCGUCGAGAUUCGUCUCUGAUGAAGACGCGUCAUCUUCAUCGACAAUGACGCCUAGGAGCGUCGGAGGCCGCAAGGUUGGAAGGAGAUGUCGUUGGGAAGGGAGAGUAGGUGCUUGGAGAGCACCAGUCGUCACCGAAAAAAUUGAAUAUGAAGUUUGAAAACCCUAGGGGGAAAAAUGUAGUUUUUGAAAACUUAGGUUGGGGGGAAAGUGUUAGUUUUUAGGGUUUGGAGGAGGGGAAAUGAUAUGACCAACAGACUCAGUUAAGUUUAACGGCCCAUGGGUGGGUAAAUAGGUUUUUCAAAGUUAACGAAAGAAACUUUGAGAAUUCAUCAUAGUUUGGAUGGAAAAUAGUCCUUUGGCCAUUAAAAAUCUAUGCAUAUGUAUAUUAAUAUUUUACAUCUGUGUAUUAUACUAAUAUUUUCUUUUUGAUAUUUUACAAGAUGUUAUUUUUAAAAGAUAAAUCCAUAUUUUACGGUAGGAAUGAUCGGAGUUUUAUGAUAUUUUAUUACGUGUUAAUAUCUAGUGAUUAAUAGAUAUUUUUUCCUAAGCCUACGUAGGUCGCGGCAAAUGUGAUUUCUCAAAAUUUUUUAUUUGAAUUAGAAUUUAAUGAAUUUGAUUUUAAAUAAUUGAAUUUUUUUUUUUUUUUUACAAACGGUUGAUUCUGGUAUUAUAAUUUAAUUUUUAAUAUACGUACUUUAAAUAAAAUAUUAAUAAGUUUAAUUUUCUAAAUUUGAAAAUGAUUUCUUUCCUGUAUUGAAGUUUUAACCGUUAGAUUGGAUAGCUUCUCGCACCGUCAAACGGCUGAGCUUUGAUUCAAACAUGAAAAGAAAUCACUUUACUUUUUACAAAUGGGUAUUCAAAUCAAUUGUUUAUGGUCAAAUAAAGUCUAUCUGUGCAUUGGCUAGGUCUUUUUAUUCAUAUUAAAAAAAAAAGAAAAGAAUAUUCUUUCGCUUUACAGUGUCCUCCAGCCCAGUUAAGCCUACUGCAUUCACGUGGUUACACUUGCCCUUCCGCAUCUAUACUUUCUUUCACUUUCCUGAACAUACCAUAGAGAGAAAAUGGAACCGCCGGCACCACAAAGCAUGAAUUUCCAGGCCAAAGAAGAUGAACAAGACAAAGUUAUCAAUGAAUGCUGUUCUUGCUGUUUUGACUGCUCAGAGAGCUGCCUUGACUAUUUGUGUUGUUACAAUCUCUGUUAGAUUGUUUGAUGGGGUGAUUAAAGACUUAAUUGUAGUUGGAAAUUCCAUAAUAACAUUUGAAAAGAACAGCUUGAGCUCCCUCCUUUGUAAAAUUAAUUUUAUGUUUUCUACUGCAGAUUCUCCAUAUCUCUUUCUGUUUGUUCUUCAAAAGAGUCCAUGUUUUUCAAAUUUGUAUAAGAACAAAUGGAUUAUUAAGGUGCAAUAAACUAAAUGGUAAAGUUGAACCUCGACAGAGGCAUCUUACU